rnacentral:rRNA from 1 species
GACGAACGCUGGCGGCGUGCUUAACACAUGCAAGUCGAACGGAAAGGCCCUGCUUUUGUGGGGUGCUCGAGUGGCGAACGGGUGAGUAACACGUGAGUAACCUGUCCUUGACUUUGGGAUAACUUCAGGAAACUGGGGCGAAUACCGGAUAGGAGCUCCUGCUGCAUGGUGGGGGUUGGAAAGUUUCGGCGGUUGGGGAUGGACUCGCGGCUUAUCAGCUUGUUGGUGGGGUAGUGGCUUACCAAGGCUUUGACGGGUAGCCGGCCUGAGAGGGUGACCGGCCACAUUGGGACUGAGAUACGGCCCAGACUCCAACGGGAGGCAGCAGUGGUGAAUAUUGCACAAUGGGCGGAAGCCUGAUGCAGCAACGCCGCGUGCGGGAUGACGGCCUUCGGGUUGUAAACCGCUUUCGCCUGUGACGAAGCGUGAGUGACGGUAAUGGGUAAAGAAGCACCGGCUAACUACGUG